rnacentral:rRNA from 1 species
GUCGAGGGGCAGCAUUAUCGAAGCUUGCUUUGAUAGAUGGCGACCGGCGCACGGGUGAGUAACGCGUAUCCAACCUUCCCAUCACUCAGGGAUAGCCCGCCGAAAGGCGAAUUAAUACCUGAUGGUCUCCUUUGCGGACAUCUAACGAGGAGUAAAGAUUCAUUGGUGAUGGAUGGGGAUGCGUCUGAUUAGGUUGUUGGCGGGGUAACGGCCCACCAAGCCUACGAUCAGUAGGGGUUCUGAGAGGAAGGUCCCCCACAUUGGAACUGAGACACGGUCCAAACUCCUACGGGAGGCAGCAGUGAGGAAUAUUGGUCAAUGGACGGAAGUCUGAACCAGCCAAGUAGCGUGCAGGAUGACGGCCCUAUGGGUUGUAAACUGCUUUUGUGCGGGAAUAAAGUGAGGGACGUGUCCCUUUUUGCAUGUACCGCACGAAUAAGGACCGGCUAAUUCCGUGCCAGCAGCCGCGGUAAUACGGAAGGUCCGGGCGUUAUCCGGAUUUAUUGGGUUUAAAGGGAGCGUAGGCCGGAUAUUAAGCGUGUUGUGAAAUGUAGAUGCUCAACGUCUGCACUGCAGCGCGAACUGGUGUCCUUGAGUGCGCAGGAAGUCGGCGGAAUUCGUUGUGUAGCGGUGAAAUGCUUAGAUAUGACGAAGAACUCCGAUUGCGAAGGCAGCUGACUGUAGCGUUACUGACGCUGAAGCUCGAAGGUGCGGGUAUCGAACAGGAUUAGAUACCCUGGUAGUCCGCACAGUAAACGAUGGAUGCUC